rnacentral:rRNA from 1 species
CAGUAGCCACGGGAAUACGAAGGGGGCUAGCGUUGCUCGGAAUCACUGGGCGUAAAGGGUGCGUAGGCGGGUCUUUAAGUCAGGGGUGAAAUCCUGGAGCUCAACUCCAGAACUGCCUUUGAUACUGAAGAUCUUGAGUUCGGGAGAGGUGAGUGGAACCGCGAGUGUAGAGGUGAAAUUCGUAGAUAUUCGCAAGAACACCAGUGGCGAAGGCGGCUCACUGGCCCGAUACUGACGCUGAGGCACGAAAGCGAGGGGAGCAAAUGGGAUUAGAUACCCCAGUAGUCCCUGUCUCUUAUAC